rnacentral:rRNA from 1 species
AGAGUUUGAUCAUGGCUCAGAUUGAACGCUAGCGGCAUGCUUAACACAUGCAAGUCGAACGGUAACAGCAGAGCUUGCUCUGGCUGACGAGUGGCGGACGGGUGAGUAAUGCUUAGGAAUCUGCCCAGUAGCGGGGGACAACAUGUGGAAACGCAUGCUAAUACCGCAUACGCCCUACGGGGGAAAGCAGGGGAUCUUCGGACCUUGCACUAUUGGAUGAGCCUAAGUCAGAUUAGCUUGUUGGUGGGGUAAAAGCCUACCAAGGCGACGAUCUGUAGCUGGUCUGAGAGGACGAUCAGCCACACUGGAACUGAGACACGGUCCAGACUCCUACGGGAGGCAGCAGUGGGGAAUAUUGCACAAUGGGGGAAACCCUGAUGCAGCAAUGCCGCGUGUGUGAAGAAGGCCCGAGGGUUGUAAAGCACUUUCAGUAAGGAGGAAAAGUAUGUAGUUAAUAACUGCGUACCCUGACGUUACUUACAGAAGAAGCACCGGCUAACUCCGUGCCAGCAGCCGCGGUAAUACGGAGGGUGCGAGCGUUAAUCGGAAUUACUGGGCGUAAAGCGUGCGUAGGCGGCACGGUCAGUCGGAUGUGAAAGCCCAGGGCUCAACCUUGGAAUUGCAUUCGAUACUGCCGAGCUAGAGUAUGUUAGAGGAAAG